rnacentral:rRNA from 1 species
CCUACGGGAGGCAGCAGUGAGGAAUAUUGGUCAAUGGGCGAGAGCCUGAACCAGCCAAGUCGCGUGAGGGAAGACGGUCCUAUGGAUUGUAAACCUCUUUUGUCGGGGAGCAAAAAGCGGUACGUGUACCGCAUCGAGAGUACCCGGAGAAAAAGCAUCGGCUAACUCCGUGCCAGCAGCCGCGGUAAUACGGAGGAUGCGAGCGUUAUCCGGAUUUAUUGGGUUUAAAGGGUGCGCAGGCGGCGAGUUAAGUCAGCGGUAAAAUUUCGGGGCUCAACCCCGACAAGCCGUUGAAACUGGCUUGCUAGAGUGGGCGAGAAGUAUGCGGAAUGCGUGGUGUAGCGGUGAAAUGCAUAGAUAUCACGCAGAACUCCGAUUGCGAAGGCAGCCUGCCGGGGUGCGACUGACGCUGAGGCUCGAAGGUGCGGGUAUCAAACAGGAUUAGAUACCCGAGUAGUC